rnacentral:misc_RNA from 1 species
GCUUGAUACUCUCUCUCUCUCUCCACAUUUAUCUUUCUACGUUUUAUCCUUCAAUGAAAUUGAGUUUAUAUAAGCUGCGAUCCAAUGUAUAUCUUACAAUCUGAUUAAAAAGCUUAAUAUAUCAUCUUCUCGCCCUUCAUGGAAUGUUAAUAAAAUUUUUAAAAUUUAUAAGUUAAUAUGCACCACUUUUAAAUUAUAUAGAGUAAAUGUUGUUUAUGAUCAUCGAGUUAAUUACCUACCUAUUGUGUAGAAAGAUGAAAUGG